rnacentral:lncRNA from 1 species
CACAAUUUUAAGUAAAGAGCCUGUAAGAGUCAGUGGUUUUCUUAGAAAUUCUUUGGCCAGAGGAAGAAGAGAAUCAGGAAGCCUUCUGUCAAACAAAAAUUACAAAAUUUACAGCUGAGAUCAGCCUGUGAAUCCAGCUGAUGCAGAACAGCAACGGUUUGAACCACAACAGUCACGAACGACGUUUCUUUCCCAUGAAAGGCCAGCCUACAGCCCUGGGUCCAUUCAAUCAUCAACGCAAGCGCUUUCUCUGGAAGGACAAUUCUUUUGAAAAUUUAGGUUUCUGGCCUUUUUGCUUCCUGCUUCCAAUUAGUUCCAUGUGCAGGAACCCACAACCCAAGGUCUCCAGACACUGUUUCAUCAAACCAGUGACACCAUCGAUCGCAAGACUCACCCUCACUUUGGACCACCAGGAAAAAGGGUGCUAAACGCUGACACUCCCCGGGCUGUGAGAUCAUUUCAGAGAUGUUAAAAUGUGAAAGAAUGGGCAUCCUAGAAUUAAUGAGUUGCAGGAAGUCGUAAGCUAGACUGACUUCUGAGCUCUGUGCAUCCCCCGACUAUCUCAACGGUGGUCUCAAUGGUGGCCCCUUUGGGGCCGUCUGGAGCGAUCCUCAGAGGCCUGCCUUGAUCCCACAGAACUGGCUAAGGCACCCCAAGUCUGAGGCCCCCACCUCUGCUUACCCAUCAUCCUCCGUUACACUCAAGAUCCUUGAGGACGGGAGCUGAGCCUGUUUCCUCCUCAGCUAUGCCCUAUUGCAGCGCGUGGCAUGUGACAGAUGUUCCCUAAAUAGAUGUUGGGUGCAUGACUGAGUGAAGGAGUCCCCAGGUCUUGGAAAGACAGAGGCCACACAGCCCCGGGAGCUGAAGGGAGCGUGUCCUAGGAAUUCGGCACUGGCAGGUGAGCCGUCGCUGCUACAGCUGAUGCUGGUUUUCAGCGCAUCACGGUGUCCUACGUCUCGGGCAGAUCCUGGGGGUCUGGCCUUCUGGGAUGAGAGGAGACAACUGUGACAUCGCCAUCCUGGAAAAUUCCUACUCAUGUCCACAGCUACGGGUCCCAGGCCCUUGGUGUGCCAUGGGAGUGUGUGGAGACUGACAAACACUAGCUGCCUCCCCAGGGACGCUGCCAACUUCCCUGAGAACAGAAGCAUCUCCUGAUUGGCAUCUUGGAACGUGAUUCUCCCUGGAGGGGGGUGAUCAUGCCGGCGAG